AUAUUAUAUUUUACCAUAUAUAAGAUACAAUUCAUUAUAUAUUAGUCCGUAGUUUAUUAGGAUUGGGGAUCAAUUCUCUAAAAAUAAUGAGGCCAAACAGCGAUAAUGAUAAAUGAUAACAGUAAGCAUAAUUUCUUUACCUAUUCAAAUCUUUCGAGUGCGGGGGACGUCUCACUACGCCCGCCUGUUUCGCACUCCAACUUAUGUGCCAACUAACUGUGCGUUCCUCUUCGUCCUGUAUGAUGGGUAGCAAGGAUAACUUCUUGUCCAAAUUUUCAAUCCGAUAUUAAUGCGAGAAUGAUAAACCUCGAUUUCAUCUUGUGUGCAGUUAAUAUGUAUAUGUUAAUGUGUGACCGGACAGCGUUGCCGAAAACAGUUUUUGUGUUUGAAACUGUGUAGCGGAACAAUUAUUUUUUUUAAUUCGAUUAAAUACGACAGUCAUUAGAUUUGUUUAAUAUAUUUCAUAGAUAAUUAUUAAUUAA